AAUCCAUGAUGAGGGCAUUUUUAAGCAUCUUCUUAAAUCUUUCCCAACUCUCAUAAAUGGAUUUUCAUUCAAACAGAUUAAAAGAAGUUAUGACAUUUUGAAGUUU